UGGGGAAUAUUGCGCAAUGGGCGAAAGCCUGACGCAGCCACGCCGCGUGAGCGAUGAAGGCCUUCGGGUCGUAAAGCUCUGUGGGGAGAGAAGAAGAAAGCCCGUGAAGAGCGGGCCUUGACGGUAUCUCCUUAGCAAGCACCGGCUAACUCCGUGCCAGCAGCCGCGGUAAUACGGAGGGUGCAAACGUUGCUCGGAAUCAUUGGGCGUAAAGCGCACGUAGGCGGCGAAGCAAGUCGGGUGUGAAAGCCCUGGGCUCAACCGAGGAAGUGCAUUCGAAACCGCAAGGCUUGAGUCCCGGAGAGGGUAGUGGAAUUCUCGGUGUAGAGGUGAAAUUCGUAGAUAUCGAGAGGAACACCGAUGGCGAAGGCAAUCCCCUGGACCUGUACUGACGCUCAUGCACGAAAGCGUGGGGAGCAAACA
rnacentral:rRNA from 1 species